rnacentral:rRNA from 1 species
CACUUGACCGUGUUCAGGCCAGCAUCGGUUCGGGCGGUGGGAUAAAGGCCUUGGGAAUGUAGCUUCUUUCGGGGAGUGUUAUAGCCCUCGGUGCAAUGCCGCCUGCCUGGACCGAGGACCGCGCUUCGGCUAGGAUGCUGGCGUAAUGGUUGUAAGC